UCAUAUACAUGGUAUCAUGUUUGUGAUACCAUGAUCAUAAAGGUGAUUUUCCCUGGGGCGAGGCUUAUCCAUUGCACUCCAGAUGUGCUGACCCCUGCAAUUUCCCCAAAUGUGGGAAACUUGAUUGCAUAAUUUGUGGUAGUGGGGGGUUGCAUUUGCUCUGUCCCCUG
rnacentral:snRNA from 1 species